GAUGAAGAACGUAGCGAAAUGCGAUACGUAAUGUGAAUUGCAGAAUUCAGUGAAUCAUCGAAUCUUUGAACGCAUAUUGCGCUCUCUGGUAUUCCGGAGAGCAUGCUUGUUUGAGUAUCAGUAAACACCUCAACUUCCAUAUCUUUUUUGAAAUGGGAGUUGGACUUGAGUGAUCCCAACGCUUUUCCUCACCGAAAAGUGGCGGGUUACUUGAAAUGCAGGUGCAGCUGGACUUUUCUCUGAGCUAUAAGCAUAUCUAUUUAGUCUGCCUAAAAAACAGAUUAUUACCUUUGCUGCAGCUAACAUAAAGGAGAUUAGUUCUUGUGCUGACUGAUGCAGGAUUCACAAAGACGGCUUCGGCCGACUUUGUAAACUAGAUCUCAAAUCAAGUAAGACUACCCGCUGAACUUAAGCAUAUCAAUAAGCGGAGGA
rnacentral:misc_RNA from 1 species